rnacentral:rRNA from 1 species
AUUGAACGCUGGCGGCAGGCCUAACACAUGCAAGUCGAGCGGAUGAAGGGAGCUUGCUCCUGGAUUCAGCGGCGGACGGGUGAGUAAUGCCUAGGAAUCUGCCUGGUAGUGGGGGAUAACGUCCGGAAACGGGCGCUAAUACCGCAUACGUCCUGAGGGAGAAAGUGGGGGAUCUUCGGACCUCACGCUAUCAGAUGAGCCUAGGUCGGAUUAGCUAGUUGGUGGGGUAAAGGCCUACCAAGGCGACGAUCCGUAACUGGUCUGAGAGGAUGAUCAGUCACACUGUAACUGAGACACGGUCCAGACUCCUACGGGAGGCAGCAGUGGGGAAUAUUGGACGAAGGGCGAAAGCCUGAUCCAGCCAUGCCGCGUGUGUGAAGAAGGUCUUCGGAUUGUAAAGCACUUUAAGUUGGGAGGAAGGGCAGUAAGUUAAUACCUUGCUGUUUUGACGUUACCAACAGAAUAAGCACCGGCUAACUUCGUG